rnacentral:rRNA from 1 species
AACGAACGCUGGCGGAAGGCCUAACACAUGCAAGUCGAACGACCCGCAAGGGGAGUGGCAGACGGGUGAGUAACGCGUGGGAAUCUACCCAUCUCUGCGGAAUAGCUCCGGGAAACUGGAAUUAAUACCGCAUACGGCCUACGGGGGAAAGGUUUAUCGGGGAUGAAUGAGGCCGCGUUGGAUUAGCUAGUUGGUGGGGUAAGGGCCUACCAAGGCGACGAUCCAUAGCUGGUCUGAGAGGAUGAUCAGCCACAUUGGGACUGAGACACGGCCCAAACUCCUACGGGAGGCAGCAGUGGGGAAUAUUGGACAAUGGGCGCAAGCCUGAUCCAGCCAUGCCGCGUGAGUGAUGAAGGCCUUAGGGUUGUAAAGCUCUUUCACCGAUGAAGAUAAUGGCGGUAGUCGGAGAAGAAGCCCCGGCUAACUUCGUGCCAGCCGCCGCCGUAAGAC